rnacentral:rRNA from 1 species
GGGGGGGGGGGCAAGCGUUGUUCGGAAUUACUGGGCGUAAAGGGCGUGUAGGCGGUCCUGCAAGUCUUUCGUGAAAUCCCACAGCUCAACUGUGGAACUGCGAGGGAAACUGCAGGACUUGAGUCCGGGAGAGGAGAGUGGAAUUCCCAGUGUAGCGGUGAAAUGCGUAGAUAUUGGGAGGAACACCGGUGGCGAAGGCGGCUCUCUGGACCGGUACUGACGCUGAGGCGCGAAAGCUAGGGGAGCAAACGGGAUUAGAUACCCCGGUAGUCCUAGCCUUAAACGAUGAGCACUUGGUGUGGCGGGUAUCGACCCCUGCCGUGCCGAAGCUAACGCAUUAAGUGCUCCGCCUGGGGAGUACGGUCGCAAGGCUG